rnacentral:rRNA from 1 species
GUUUACGGCCAUACCGUCCUGAGCACGCCCGAUCUCGUCUGAUCUCAGAAGCUAAACAGGGUCGGGCCUGGUUAGUACUUGGAUUGGAGACUGCCUGGGAAUACCUGGUGCUGUAAGCUUUU